rnacentral:lncRNA from 1 species
CCCAAAUACCUAUUUUCGCUGAGCGGGGCUCCGGUUCAUUGAUCACUACAAUAACAAGCUUCCAUUUUCAAUAAGUAUAGUCAUGCUAUUGCCGCCAAGAAAAGAAUUAGGGAUAUAUAACUAUCAAAAUUAGCAACAUAUUCAUAACUAUUUAAUUGUAUUGUGUGAUCACGGCCGUCCAUAAAAACUAGCCCGCUCUCAUUUGACAAAUUUUAGUGGAAUCACAAAAUAUUAGACC